GGCCAGUUAGCUCAGUUGGUUAGAGCAUGGUGUUGAUGAUGCCAAGGUUGAGGGUUCAAUCCCUGUACUGGCCA